GCUGGCGGCACGCCUUAUACAUGCAAGUCGAACGAAGUAGAAAUACUUAGUGGCAGACGGGUGAGUAACAUGUAGGUAUCUUCCCUUUGGUGAGGAAUAACACGAGGAAACUUGUGCUAAUACCUCAUAAGUCUUUACGGAGAAAGCUUUAUGCGCCGAAGGAUGAGCCUGCACUUGAUUAGUUUGUUGGUGGGGUAAUGGCCUACCAAGACUUUGAUCUAUAGCUGAUCUGAGAGGAUGAUCAGCCACAUUGGGACUGAGACACGGCCCAAACUCCUACGGGAGGCAGCAGUAGGGAAUAUUGCACAAUGGAGGAAACUCUGAUGCAGCGAUGCCGCGUGAGUGAAGAAGGCCUUUGGGUUGUAAAGCUCUUUCGUCGGGGAAGAAAAUGACUGUACCCGAAUAAGAAGGUCCGGCUAACUUCGUGCCAGCAGCCGCGGUAAUACGAAGGGACCUAGCGUAGUUCGGAAUUACUGGGCUUAAAGAGUUCGUAGGUGGUUAAAAAAGUUGGUGGUGAAAUCCCAGAGCUUAACUCUGGAACUGCCAUCAAAACUUUUUAGCUAGAGUAUGAUAGAGGAAAGCAGAAUUUCUAGUGUAGAGGUGAAAUUCGUAGAUAUUAGAAAGAAUACCAAUUGCGAAGGCAGCUUUCUGGAUCAUUACUGACGCUGAGGAACGAAAGCAUGGGUAGCGAAGAGGAUUAGAUACCCUCGUAGUCCAUGCCGUAAACGAUGUGUGUUAGACGUUGGAAAUUUAUUUUCAGUGUCGCAGCGAAAGCAUUAAACACACCGCCUGGGGAGUACG
rnacentral:rRNA from 1 species